rnacentral:lncRNA from 1 species
CCUGGUUCCACCCCUCCCUAACCCUCAUUUAGGGGCUAGCUGCUACAAAAGAAGGAUCUCUACCCAGGGAUCCCUCCUUUUGAAGUAUUUGGUGAGUUCUGUUUCUUGGCACAGGUAUCAGAUUUCACUGGAAUGACUUGAGUAAGCUUUCACUCAAACUAAGAUUGGGGAUUAGCAACUAUUGGUAUUAUGAAGUAUUUCAGGACAGUGAUGGUACUGAUGUUUUAUCUCUGCUGCAAAGGAUCUCAGGAGUUCAUCAUAGAAUAAUGGAAUGGCCUGAGCUGAAAAGGACCACAAUGAUCAUCCAGGUUCAAACCCCGUGCUAUGUACAGGGUUGCCAACCACCAGACCAGACCGUCCAGAGCCACAUCCAGCCUGGCCUUGAAUGCCUCCAGGGAUGGGGCAUCCACAACCUCCUUGGGCAACCUGUUCUGGUGUGUCACCACCCUCUGUCUAAAAAACUUCCUGCUAAUAUCUCACCUAAACCUCCCCUGUCUCAGUUUAAAACCAUUCCCCCUUGUCUUAUCACUGUCAACCCAUUUAGACAGUUGUUUCUCCUCCAGUUUAUAUGCUCCCUUCAAGUACUGGAAGGAGAUGUCUGAGCUUAUCUUGGUUUAUUCUGAAUUGAGGUUCUUUCUCUGGAGUAACAACUGUUUAGUCAUAGAGGGACAAUUAACAAACUGUGUUUUGGUUUAGUUUAGUUUAUAACGAGCUCCAUCAGGUGCUCAGAAGCCCAUCCAGCCUGGCCUUGAGUUUCUCUAGGGAUCUAUCACCUUUCUGGUCAACCUGUGCAGUGCUUCCCCACAAAAAAAAAAAAACCUUUUUCAUGACUAACCUUUUUGUUACAUCCAAUCUAAACUUCCCCUUUUAGUUUUAAACCAUUUCCCCUUCACACCAGAUCAU